AUACUUACUUGGCAGAGAUACCGUGAUCGCGAAAGUGAGUUUCCCAGAGUGAGACUUAUCCAUUGCACUUCGGAUUUGCUGACCCCUGCGGUUUCCCCAGAUAUGGGAAACUCGACUGCAAAAUUUGUAGUAGUGGGGGCCUGCGUUCGCGCUUUCCUCUA